GCCCCUGUAGCGCAAUGGAUAGUGCUUAGUUUGGACUUCUAAUCCAAAGGUUGUGGGAAAUUAGACCAUCCCACCUGGGAUG